GCCAGGUGCAGUGGCACAGACCUGUAGUUGCAGCUACUUGGGAGGCUGAGAUGGGAGGACUGCUUGAGGACAGUUCUGGGCUGUACUAUGCUACGCCCACUGGUAUCCAUGCUAAGUUUAGCAACAAUAUCGUGACAUCCCUGGAACAGAGAACCACCAGGUUGCCUAAGAAGAGAUCACUGCCUCAGGGCAGAAAUGGAGCACGUCAAAACUUUCAUGGUGAUCAUCAGUGAGACUGUGCCUAUGAACAGUCCACUGCAUUCCAGCCUGGGCAACUUAGCAAGAUCCUGUCUCUU
rnacentral:SRP_RNA from 1 species